UAUAGGAGGUGAUCCAGCCGUGGACGCUACACGAGUGAGAAUGCAGGCAUGAGUAGCGAAAGACGGGUGAGAAACCCGUCCUCCGAAAGACCAAGGGUUCCAGGGCCAGGUUAAUCCGCCCUGGGUAAGUCGGGACCUAAGGCGAGGCCGACAGGCGUAGUCGAUGGACAACGGGUUGAUAUUCCCGUACCGGCGAACAACCGCCCAAGCUAAUCCAGUGGUGCUAAGAGUCCUAACCCGCAUUGACCGGAUCCCUUCGGGGUGAUAGGUAAGUGAGAGUACUAACGCUCGACCCCAUGCUGGUGCGGUUAGCGUAUGAACAGGUGUGACGCAGGAAGGUAGCUGAGCCAGGAUCAAACUCUUANNNUNA
rnacentral:rRNA from 1 species